GAUGAACGCUAGCGGGAGGCUUAACACAUGCAAGUCGAGGGGCAGCACGAGAUAGCAAUAUUUUGGUGGCGACCGGCGCACGGGUGAGUAACACGUAUGCAACCUACCUCGUACAGGGGGAUAACCCGGAGAAAUUCGGACUAAUAUCCCAUAAUAAUAUUGAAAGGCAUCUUUUAAUAUUUAAAGCUCAGGCGGUACGGGAUGGGCAUGCGGAACAUUAGCUAGUUGGUAGGGUAACGGCCUACCAAGGCUGCGAUGUUUAGGGGACCUGAGAGGGUUAUCCCCCACACUGGUACUGAGACACGGACCAGACUCCUACGGGAGGCAGCAGUGAGGAAUAUUGGUCAAUGGGCGCAAGCCUGAACCAGCCAUCCCGCGUGAAGGAAGAAGGCGCUAUGCGUCGUAAACUUCUUUUCCAGGGGGAGAAUUUUCCGGUCGUGACCGGAAUUGACGGUACUCUGGGAAUAAGCAUCGGCUAACUCCGUGCCAGCAGCCGCGGUAAGCAUACUCGUA
rnacentral:rRNA from 1 species